rnacentral:rRNA from 1 species
UUUGAUGGUGGCUCAGAUUGAACGCUGGCGGCAGGCCUAACACAUGCAAGUCGAGCGGUAACAGAUUGAUAGCUUGCUAUCAAUGCUGACGAGCGGCGGACGGGUGAGUAAUGCCUGGGAAUAUACCCUGAUGUGGGGGAUAACUAUUGGAAACGAUAGCUAAUACCGCAUAAUCUCUUCGGAGCAAAGAGGGGGACCUUCGGGCCUCUCGCGUCAGGAUUAGCCCAGGUGGGAUUAGUUAGUUGGUGGGGUAAUGGCUCACCAAGGCGACGAUCCCUAGCUGGUCUGAGAGGAUGAUCAGCCACACUGGAACUGAGACACGGUCCAGACUCCUACGGGAGGCAGCAGUGGGGAAUAUUGCACAAUGGGGGAAACCCUGAUGCAGCCAUGCCGCGUGUAUGAAGAAGGCCUUCGGGUUGUAAAGUACUUUCAGUUGUGAGGAAGGCGUUGGAGUUAAUAGCUUCAGCGUUGACG